rnacentral:rRNA from 1 species
AACGAACGCUGGCGGCAGGCCUAACACAUGCAAGUCGAGCGCGCCUUUCGGGGUGAGCGGCGGACGGGUUAGUAACGCGUGGGAAUAUACCCUUUGGUACGGAAUAGCCUCUGGAAACGGAGAGUAAUACCGUAUGAGCCCUUCGGGGGAAAGAUUUAUCGCCAAAGGAUUAGCCCGCGUUAGAUUAGGUAGUUGGUGGGGUAAUGGCCUACCAAGCCUACGAUCUAUAGCUGGUUUUAGAGGAUGAUCAGCAACACUGGGACUGAGACACGGCCCAGACUCCUACGGGAGGCAGCAGUGGGGAAUCUUGGACAAUGGGGGCAACCCUGAUCCAGCCAUGCCGCGUGAGUGAAGAAGGCCCUAGGGUCGUAAAGCUCUUUCGCCUGUGAAGAUAAUGACGGUAGCAGGUAAAGAAACCCCGGCUAACUCCGUG